rnacentral:lncRNA from 1 species
UUCAAAGUUCAUAGUUCCUUCUUUGUUCCUUUGUUAAUCACUGACUUCUGACUAGUGGGAGGUGCCUCCCAAGUUUGCUAAUGCAUUCUUUUUGGAUAAGGAUGACGCACAGAUUGUCCUAAUAAGGACUUAGAUUGAGAAAGACCGCCCCCUCUGAGAAGAGGGGACAAUGCUGUCCCCGGCAUAGGUCCAUCUCUGCAGAAGCCAUUUCAGGAGUACCUGGAGGCUCAACGGCAGAAGCUUCACCACAAAAGCGAAAUGGGCACACCACAGGGAGAAAACUGGUUGUCCUGGAUGUUUGAAAAGUUGGUCGUUGUCAUGGUGUGUUACUUCAUCCUAUCUAUCAUUAACUCCAUGGCACAAAGUUAUGCCAAACGAAUCCAGCAGCGGUUGAACUCAGAGGAGAAAACUAAAUAAGUAGAGAAAGUUUUAAACUGCAGAAAUUGGAGUGGAUGGGUUCUGCCUUAAAUUGGGAGGACUCCAAGCCGGGAAGGAAAAUUCCCUUUUCCAACCUGUAUCAAUUUUUACAACUUUUUUCCUGAAAGCAGUUUAGUCCAUACUUUGCACUGACAUACUUUUUCCUUCUGUGCUAAGGUAAGGUAUCCACCCUCGAUGCAAUCCACCUUGUGUUUUCUUAGGGUGGAAUGUGAUGUUCAGCAGCAAACUUGCAACAGACUGGCCUUCUGUUUGUUACUUUCAAAAGGCCCACAUGAUACAAUUAGAGAAUUC